AGCUCCACUAGCGUAUAUUAAAGUUGCUGCAGUUAAAAAGCUCGUAGUCGGAUCUCGGGAUCGUGUCGGUGAUUUGGUUGCUUCUCCUGCGUUUCGGCGCUGGGGGUUGUGGCCGGUCAUCGGCCCUGCCGGCGAGGUCCCUACCUUUGGUGGGGUUCCACCUCGCUCGUGCAGCCCGCCGUCGCGAUUUGGCGGGUGUCCUUAAUUUGAUGCCCGUCUCGAUCGUGACCCUUUACCUUGAACAAAUCGGAGUGCUCAAAGCAGGCUCUCUAUCGCUCGAACGGUAGCGCAUGGAAUAAUGGAAGAGGACUUGCUUCCGCUUCUGUUGGGCUCACGGAGGCAGGUAAUGAUCAAGAGGGACGGACGGGGACAGAGGUAUGUCUCGGCGAGAGGUGAAAUUCUUGGACCCUAGACAGACCCUCGAGAGCGAAAGCAUCUGUCAAGGAUGUUUCCA
rnacentral:rRNA from 1 species